UCCCUGUUUGUGAAGAACGAAGGAGUGAGUGAAAAUAUUGUUAGCUGGAUGCGGUGUGGUUGUCACUCUGUACCUCCGCCCUUGCCUAAAUCCAAUUUCACAAUUUACCUAAAAGUAAAAGGCGCUUUCGAAAGUACAGAUUUUGCCAGAAAUGUUCAAACUGUGCUCCCUGUUGCUCAUUCCUGCUUCUCACUUAGACGCAACGGGCCUGUUGGACUUUAUAUUUUCGGAAACGUUUUCUAAGAAUAAUUAGUCACGUUAGAUCCCGUCUCUGAGCAAAGUGCCCAGCAGUUUCCUGCGCUUAGUUACUAUUUCCGCAGAAUUCAGUUAACCCAGAUGUUAAAGCACUGAUCCCAGAGAAGGAAACUAUGUGUGGAAUUUACCCCUGGGUGGACCUCCCAGUGGCCUGACCUGAAGUCUUGGGAAUCCCAGAAUCCAAACUUGGCAAGCUCAGCUUUCCUCAGCUCAGUAACCUGUGACAUGUUUGGGGUGGGGACUGGGUCGCAAUGGGUUGGCAUUUUUCUUCACUGCAAGAGCUAGGGUGAAAGCUGAGGAUAUGGGAAGUGGAGAUAAAUUGAUCUAACUAUGACUGGUUGCAAACGAAUAGCUACAGAAACAAUUUUAAAGAAAAUUUUCUAAAGACUUUUUUUUUUUUUUAAUUGCAGAGUAGGGCGAAAAAGUGAGAUUUCCUUCCUUAAAAGGCCAGAAAAUAGCAAAGAGAAAGAGUUCCCACCGUUGGAAAUUAAGAUGGAAUGUAAAUAGAAUUGCCCAACACACAUGUUCCCGUUAUUUUUCCUGUCUUUUUGUGUGUAUGGAUUUUUUAAAGUGACGGUCACCAGCCUGAGCUUGUUUGUGAGACAGGAAUAAAAGGGAGGAAUUUGACCAGAGCACAGGCUUGGUAAUUUUAAUUAAAGUGUCAGUUAUCUUCUUCCUUCAGGGACAAAGGACCUUUCCAAGGCCCUAAGUCACAUUAGAAUUGCCAUUUAUUGUUGGGCUUCUUGCCCUCCUUUUUUCUCUCAUCUUUACUUUUUCUUAUCUUUUGUCAUACUGAAUAUCCUAAGUUAACUCAUACUGCGUCAUUCUCCAAUUCCAGGAGAAUUCAGAAGCUUUUCUAAGCUGGGAAGGAUCCUGCUGAAGUAUUAAGGUGUCAUGCCUCCCCAGUGUAUGUGGUAUUACUUUAAAAGAAUCUUGUUAACUGAAAUGAUAGCUAGUAAAGUAGAAGCAUGUAAGUGUAUGUGUGAGACAGGAGAAGAGAAGGAAGGCUUUUCAGUGGGAGCUUUGAAAUGCUCUUUGAUGUUUUUCUAAACAAAAUCCAUCUCUCUCCAUAAUCUACCAAGGAUUUUUAAAAAAUGCAAAUUAUGUACUGUUAUUUAUGGGCAUUUGCCCUUAGCUGGCGCUUUUACUGGAUAAAAACCCAAAACUUAGAUAUGAGUCUAGGAGAUUUGAAAGGUACUAAUUCCUUCCCUGUUUUUGUACCUCUUGAAAUUGUUAUGAUGCUUUGCCACAGUUUUCUUCCUGCCCUGCCUACACAUGUUAGAAUGAUCUAACAUAUGAUUUUAGAAAAACAUAUGUAUAGCCAUUUCUACAUUUGAAGCCUGUAACACCCUAUUCUGAUUUGUUGUCGGUAAGGUAAAGGAUGUCUAAUCAAUAUGCUUCAGUGAUUGAACAUACAACAUUUUUCAAAGAGUUAGUUUGAUCUGAAAUAUGUGCAACAGUUUAGAUCUUUCUUUUGUAAUGUGAGCUUAUUGUUAAAUGAGCUGAUGUUUUCUGCCAGAUUUUGUGUUAUGUCUUGUAUUUCUAGACCAAGCAUUACACUGUUAUUCUGAGUUAUUUGAGGUUGCAGUAACUCACUAAUUUAAGUUACAAAUUCCUGAUACUCAAGCUUCAAUGUUAUAGUCUUAACAGCUUUAUAUCUCAAACCUUUAGGGCACUCUACAUUAUACUAUGAAAGUAAUCUUUGUUCCCCAUACAUCCUAGGAAAUUUCUCCUUUUCUACAUCAGCUCACAAUAUUCUAUUUAAAUUUUUUCCCUGAUUCCAUGUAUUUUGUUUAUCCAUAAAGCCACCUUAAAUAUUAUCUGGAAUUAAAACCAUGCAUCAUAUCAAUUUGAUUAAAGGCAGUGUCUUUUUUAAUGAACUAUUGAAGGAUUCAUCCUGUAUUAUUCUACUUUCUCCUACAAAAUUCUAGCAUGUGGUAGGUACUCAAACAUGAAUGGUAAACUAGGGGAUAUGAAAUGUAAAAUGUGUUAGCUCUAUUAAUACUAUUACAGACUUCUUGAGGCAGUGAUAUUAUUAAAUAUUUAAUUUAAAAACUAAUUAAAUUUAUUUUUACUGUUUUCCAAAAUAAGCAAAAUUACAAGAAAAAGACAUGAUUUGGCUGUGGUUUUAAAUUAUAAUUUUGUACUUACUGGGUCUUUGAAAACAGAAACCUUUAUAUAGGGUAUUUUAAUCAUGUCUGUUUUCCUAUAAAAUCAUAUCUAUUUUAAUGUCUCCAGAACAAAAAAAAAAAGUCAAGUUACCUUCCAGUGUUUUUAAUUUGUUGUUUUUGAAACAUUUCCACUGGAAUUGGGCUAGAAGUCAAGAGAACUGUAGUUCUUACCCUUCAGUUGUUUUUACUGUAACUUUUGGCAGCAUUUAGUCUCUUUGAAAUUCAAUUUCUUUUAUGUGAAAAUUGAGGAAAUUGAAUUCAGUAAUUAAAAUCAAUAUAACUGUAAAAAAUGCUGCAACAUUAAGAAACUAACAUAAUCUCAUUCUUACCUGUUUUAAAUAUUACAUGCUAUCUUUUGACUUUGAUUCUAACGUUCAUUUUAGUGGUACAAGACUGAUUCCAAGUUUAAUACUUACAUGAGUGAAUCUAUUCUGAAGCAGUAUUCUGUAAACUUUGGAUAUGUCCUUUAACUGUUGCAAACCUAUUUUCACUCUAUACUGUAAAUACAUAUUACAUAGUUGUCCUGAUUCUCUCGUAUGAACAUCCUUAUGAGAUUAUGGUACUCUCUAAAUUGAAGAACUGCAUAAACAUGUGAAUCCCGAAGAAUCCUUUGCUUGAAGAUACAAAUCUGGAUAGACCAAAGCAAGCAGUGAGGCCUCAGUUGAACAUGAUCACAAUCACUUGGAAGAUACUUGGUUUGACCUAGUUGACUAAUGGGCAGUCUGUUAGGUGAAUUUAUUUAAUACCUGUUUACCAAACUUUAGGUUAGCCCUACUGUAUGGAAGUGAUUGAUGUAUCCCAUGGUAAAUUGCAUUACAAUCCUUCCUAUAAAAUAGUAUGCCAGAAAUGAUCUCGUGACGGUAGCAAGUAUUAUAGGUUCCUAAAGAAUGGAUAUCUUGUUGGAACACUUUGUGCUUAGUCGUAUCCCUUAAAUAGGUGGGGCUGUAUAAUAUGUGGGUGUACUUUUUUUUCAAAAUUUAUUUUCCUGAAACAUAAAUGUGAUCUUUUAACUUUUUAAACCACUUUGGAACCCCUUCCAGUACUGCUCCUUUGAACGUUUGUUGCAGACUGUGAAACUCUGAAAGCAGGGACUAUCUUUUAUUUUCCUUUAUGUUUCUGGAAUCUGGUAUAUGAUCAUACAUAUUAUAUGAAAGAACAAGUGGUUAUUAGUUCUCUUUUACUUUAGAAAUUUUAACUUAUCUAUCACUGACAUACUAAAAUUAAGAAGUUAUUCUUAUAAUGUUACUAAAUAUUUAAAAAGAUUACUCUUAGGUAAGUUUCUGUACACCUAUUUCAGUUUUUGAGCUACCCACGUUUGGGUGAAAAAAUCGUGACUUUAAACACAUUUUACUGUGGAAAAUGUCUUGACAUAUUUUAGAAUAAUUUAUAAUGAUAAUGUGUUUGUUUGUUUGUGUUUGUUUUUCAAACUCACAAACUUGCUGUUGCCAGACAGGUGCUGUGCUGCUGAGAUACAUCCCUGGCCCAACUGCAAUUAGUUUUACUACAUAUGAUUUGGAAAAUGAUCUUUACCAAAUAUAUAAAGAGCUAGAGCUCAGAUGAUGAAUUCCAGUGAUAAAUGCAAUCAUUUCUUUAGAGAAAAUAUGCAAAGCUAAGAUUGUUUGAAGACUCCCAUGUGACCUCUACAAGCAAGGAGGAUUAUUCACCUAAUACAGGCAAAAGUAUAAAAAAAGUAAAAGGUUUUUGGUUUUUAAGCAAUUUUUUUGUAUUCACUUAUCUAACUUCCCUGUGACUAAGAGCACUUCCUUGCAAUUAUGAUAAACAAUAAAAAAACUUCUACUAAAUAAGCAAAAUCUUAUUCACAAAACAAAACUUGAGUGUAUGUUUCUUUUUGUUAUAUCACUGUGUAAUAUAAGAACAUUUUGCCAAAAAUAUUGCAAUGAAAUUUAUAAUAUCAAUAUUUUUAAAGAUAAGUAAAUAUAUCUGAACUCAGACUUCAGUAUUUGGUACAUUAAAAACCAAUUAAUAAGAUAUUUUUGAAAAUUUAUUGUACAAUUUUAUGAUUUACAGUAAAAAUAUAAAACCAUUUUUGAAGGUGCUCUGUUGUGGAAUUUACAUUUAUUUCCAUACACAUAUAUUUUAUACCAAAAAAAUAAUGUUUAAACAAUUUUAUACAGUGUGGACAUCAAAUGAAUUCCUAAUACCAACCAGUAUAUACAUUUUAGUUUCCCUUUAAAAUUUGGCUGACUUAAAUUUUCUCUUUAAGUCAUAGAAAUGAUUAAAUUAAAAUUACUCUUUCAUAUACAUGUAACCUUUGUUCUUACUGCUAUGAGAGAAAGUUAAAGAAUUGCCAAAGCUACAGUCAUGUAUCCUAUGUGAUUGGAAAUUUCUUUGAUUACCUUAUUGUCACCUUUUUCCUGAGGCUUCCUUCUAAAGGUAGAUAUUUAGAUGAAGCUCUUGUUUUGGGGAAAUGGUGAUGCUUCUGAUGCCAGAGGAGCAGUUAUUCCUCAAAUCAGAUACUAGAAGAGGAAUAAUGUCCCUAUCUUUGUGUUUAUAAGAGGUAUCAGAUUUUAGCCUCUUUGAGACCUUAAAAUGUAGUUUUCAAAAUGUACAAUGAAAUAUGAUAAGUGUCAUGUAGAUAUGCUGGAUAUUGACUAUAAUUUUUAGAUGCAUGGUUUCCCACUUUGCAAUAUCUGUGAAACUAGGAUGCAGCUAACUAGCAAUUAUAUAUUGAGUUGACAGUACAUUUUUUAAUGAUGCAAUUGAUGGUAGCUUCUAUUUAGUUAGCUAUAAACUUGGAUAAAAAUUUGUGAGGAUAUAAUUAAAAGACAAUUUGAUUUAUUAGGUGUUUUAUAUCUGUCUAUAUUCUGUUUCAUGAUUCAUUCAUUAAAAGUGCCUAUUACAGUAUUCCUAGGUGCUAACCAUAAGAUCCUGUCCUUACAGAGUAUACAGCAAGCUGGGAAACAGACAAUUCGAUAUUUAAAUAUAAUAUCAAGUGGUAUGUUAUAUAGAUAAAGCUGUUGGGACAUAUAUUUCCCUGGGGAAGGGGUCCAGUCUACCCACGGAGUCUUUUGAGAAUGAAAUUUCUAUGGGAAGUUAAGGAUAAUAGCAGUGGAGCUACUUGUUUAUGCAAAAGACCAGAGUACACUUUAGAGGACUUGGCGUGAUAGGCAAGCUGAAAGAAAUUAAAAAUUCUUGAGGAAAGGAAUAUAUUUAGUUCCUUUGCAUCUUUUGAUGCUUUUCUGUAAUCACUUUGAAAGUGAAUAUAAUUCUCCAGUCACAGACUACUCUGAAUAGGCAAUCUAUUCUGACUUUAGCAGUGUGGAGACAAUUCAAAUACCUUUCAUCUCAGUUUCUUCAUAACCUUAAUUGUCACGCUUGGUCUCAUACAACAAAUGCAGUGAAGUAAAUAUAAAAUAGUCAUUGAUCCCCAAUUUUCUAAGUAUACAUAUUUUUUAAACACUUCAAAUAUUUUAAGGGGGUGAAUGAAAACUCAGAAGUUCUAGAUCUUAAUGGGAAGUUUUUUCGGUUGCAAGUAGGGGAACAAAGGUAGAGGCACAUCCAUGGAGAGGUAAGAUCAAUAAUGAUUAACAGUAGCCCAAGAGUCAUGAUCAAAUUAGCUAGGUGAGCACCCUGUAAACCAACUUAGAUGUAGACUUCACUGUUACUCUCAUUGCAUUUUACUGAAGAGAAAGCAAAAACAAAAAAAUCCCAUGAAUUCUUGUUCCCUUUACAGACACCAUAUGACUAAGAAAACUUUCACCACCUUAAUAUCCCUAACAAUAUGCUCUGGUCUUUUUUUUGUUUGGAUAAGUCACUUCCAUCCCAUAUUCACCAUCAAAGCCUCACUGCAUUUUGAAUAGCAAAUCUUGCCUAUAAACAGAAGAUCCUUGUUCCUAGGCCAAAGUAUUUCUAGAAAAAAAGAUAUAACUCAGGGAUAUUUUUGGAUAUAUAUGACGAGAACAGAAACUACAUUGAAUGCCAAGCUUUAACAUAGUAAAAGAAAAAAAUGCCAUUAAUCCCCCCUCAACAUGUUCCUGCUUGUUUCAAACACACUUAUUCCAUCAUGCUUGUCAUUUUCUGAAGCAGUUCUGGAAGUCCUCUUGCAUGAAUGUCUACAAUUGUGCUCUUAAUGAAUGCCUAGAUAUCCUGAAUCAGUUCAAAAUGUUUACCUUUCAUUGUCACUUUGACUUUAGGGAAGAACCAGAGGUCACAUACCGCCACAUUCAUUGAAUAAGGUAAAAGAGCAUAUCAGAAUAUUUAUACCAGCCUGUCUUACCACUUGAUGACAUUUACUACAAGCAUUCACUGUAAUUUUGAUUAUACCUGAUAAAGACACUUACAAAGUAAGACUUUAAAAGCUGCUUCAGAAAGAAGCAAUAAGAAUAAAGUGUUUGAACCUAGGGGAAAUACUUUGAGGGAGAUUAAUGACAAUGCAUGUAUAUAUAUAUAUAUAUAUUAGUAGGUAUGUAUUUUGAGACAGAGUCUCACUGUGUAAUUCAAGCUGGCCUAGACUCACUACAUAGGCCAGGCUGGCCUUGAACUCACAGUGAUCCUCCUGUGCCAGCCUCUCAAGUGCUGGGCAAUGUAUCUUUUAAUGAAAUAUUUUUUUAAAAUUUAAACAUUCAUGGCAUAUAGUAUUUUGAUCAUUCCACAUAUCAUCAUAAAUAGAAAUUGCUGUUAUUUGAGUUAUACUUAGGGUAGGUCAUCAUCUCGUUUUACUGUAUAUCUAAAGUAUGCAUCAUUAACUAGAGUCUUAUCAAAGUCUUAAAAAAGUUUGGAUUUCACAUUUAAAGCACAAAGCAAAAGGAGACAAACUCCACUUUUAGGCUUAUGAGUGUGAAAUUUGAGGUCAGAUAUUGAAUACUAGUUAUUUUCUACAGAUGUGACUUUGGACAAAUGAAAUUGUUAGUACUUCAGUUUCUUCGUCUCUGAUACAUAAAAUAGUUUGAAAUCUUUAGAAUAAAAUGAAAUAAAAAUUGCAAAGUUAUUGGCACAGGGGCUUAUACCCAAUAAAUUUAAACAUUAAUCUGUGUUCAUUAUGCUCUGUUAUUGUUCGUCUUGACAUUAGGCUGAAUCCUACCAUUUGGAUAUGACCAGUAACAAGCCUGGAUCAGAUGUUACAAGGUAGAGGGAAAGAUAGUUAUUUAUUUUCCCUAUUCAUUCCUUGCUGGCCUUCUGUAUUGGCACUAGCUGCCCUCCUUUCUCGCUAGCCACUGCCGCGGUACCAUAACCCAUCUCCCAUCCUUAGAGUUCACAAUCAAACUCCUCAGACCUAGGAAUGGUCAUGGUUUUUCUUCCCACUCUUGCUUCAGGUACUUCCCAUUGUUGCUGUUCUAAGUGCCCUAUCUUUUCUUGGUUUCCUUAAGGCUUGUCUAAACUCCCUUUUGAAACUUUUCAGUUAAGUCCUCUGGAUGUGCCAUUAAUUUGUGCUGGGACUUUGGCAUGCGUAAACUAUCAAUAAGGACUUUAUUUGUGUGUGGAAGAGAAUGUCUCUCAAUUUUAAAAAACCUGCAAAAAUCCAAUGAGUAUUGGAAUGGCAGUGUUUUGUUACUGUGAUAUAAUCUGAGCUCUGAAGGCUAGUGAGAGUUUGUUUAGAUGGCAGGGGGUAGUAGGAAGGAAGGGUGGAGUUGUUUUCUAGAUGCAUAAUAAUGAGCAGGAGGAUUUAGAGGAAAGUAAGGAAAUGUGAUUGAAUAUAGUGGGGACAUUAUGUUAAGAGAUAUGGUAGGCAGAAUAAUACUCUUCUCUCAAAGAUGUCCUGUCCUAAUCCCUGAAAUCGUAAAUACGUUACUUAAAUGGCAGAAGUGACCUGGCAGAUUUGAUUAAAGUUUUUGAGAUUGGAGAGAUUAUUCUGGUGGCAUAACUCCAAAGUAAAUAAUGGAAUGCUUAGGAAGGCAGUAGUAUUAGAGUCACCAAAGGUGAUGUCCUGCAGGCCUUGAAAAUGGAGAAAGUCAAGUCAAGGAAUGUAGGUAGCUUCUCAACACUGGAAAAAGGAAGGAACUUGAUUCUUCAUUAGAGCCUCCAGAAGAAAUGCCCAAGCAGCACCUGGAUUUCAGCUUAAAAGGACUAUGAUGUAGAGAACUGUAAAACAGUAUGAGGAUUCAGCUUUCAUGCUUUCUGGAGGAUACUGAAAGAAACAGGUAUCUUGGACUAAGCAGCCCUCACUAGACACCAAACUUGAUGACACCUUGAGUUUGAACUUUCCAGCCUUCAGAGAACUUACAGCCUAACUAGAAAAAGUAAACACAUCACAAGCAUCGUGUGAAGUACAGAAAAAGAUGAGGGUCUUGUAGGGGAAAGACUAAACAUAAUUUGAAAAAACCCUCCAGAAAACGAUGGCUAAUUGAGGACCAGAGGAUGAGUAGAACUCCAUCAACCAGGAGCGUUUGUGUGGGAAUGGAAGCAACAAGGAAAGGUGGGAGACCAAUUAAAAUAUCAAAGAAUGUUCCAGUAAGAGGAAACACCACGAGAAAGGGCUUGAAGGAAAAGAAAGAAUUUGAUGAGAAAAAAGAAACCUGGUUAUGACUGGAAAAUAGAAUGUGUGAAAUAGCUAAAAAUAAAAAAGAGUAAGGAAGAGCCUUAUACUUGACAUGUAAGAGUGGAUUUUAUUCCAAGAGUUAUAGGUAACUACUGGAGGAUUUUAAGCCAAGGAGAGACUGAAUCCAGUACAUCAGUUAUCAUGGUGUUCUUAUGAGGACUUGAACAUGCAUCAAGCUGAUGAAGGAGGCCACUGAAGUUUGCUCUGAUAAAAUUGAUCCUGGUGAUAAUACCAUCAAAGUCUUUGUUAGAGUGUUUCCUUUUGUUUCUCACCAUGAACAUACUUAUUAGUAGUGGGAAAGAAUGAUCAUGCUCUUGAGAACAGCCACAAAGUAGUAGGAGAGUCUUCCAAGGACAAGAUACAGGUGACUGUUGUUUGAUGGGCUCUCCUCUUGGACCCUGGUGAUAGAAUCUGGUAAUAGACAAAGCACAGAAAAAGUACUUGGAUGGACUUGAGUUGAAACUUUGGUUUGUAUUACCAACACAUUAUGUUAUCUGGGACACAAUAUACAUGUUGUCAGCUUUGUUGUUCUCAUUUGUAAAACAGGAAUUGCAAUACUCAAUAUAUAAGAGCUUUAAAAGGAUGAAUUCACUGAGUACUGAGCACUGUGAUUUAAGUGCUCAGUACAUGACUUGGCACAUGUAAUACCCAACAAAUGGCAAAAGCUGCUGUUUAACUUCUGGCAUUUUGCCACCAAGGAUUUGGGACUAAGAAGUCAGCAACACAUGAGGCUAGAAGAACAUAUGCAAAUCAUAGGCAAAUAUGGCUUUCCCCCGGUGAAAAACACAAAAGCUAUUUUAAUCAUGUAGAGGAAAAUGACAUGGGAAUUGAGGAAGGAAUAAUCUGUGUGAGAUUAGAUUUAUUGCUUCAUUUUAUGGAUUGUUUCCUCAUCUGUAAAACUACAUCUAAAUAAUUUCAACUUCUUAUUUCUAAAAUUUACUACAGGUUAAAGCAAUUAGUUACAUUCAGCUAAGAACCAAACUGUAAUCAUGCACACAAAUAUGUGUGUGUAGUACUCACAAAACAUACAAAAAGAUCCAUAGAUUCAAGCGUAUUUAUUUUUUGUUCUUACAUUUUCCAACAGAUAUUAUUAUGAGCUCCACAGGGCUUUUAGAAAAUGCUAAUCUUAACUCUCCCUGUAUUUAUGGUGGGUUGGUUUUGCUUCUCCCCUCAAGAGUCUUGUAUAAAUAUGCCACAAUUUUUAUGUGUGUAAGUAAUCCAAGUGAUUGGUGUAAUUUGUGAGUAUGUUCUAGAAAAAGACCUUGUGUCUUCAAGGCUUGGCUCUGAUUAAAAGAAAGUGAUGUCAUUUUAGGAAGAGUAUAAAAAUCUCUACCUGUUUCAAAUUUAUUUCCUGCCAAUCCAUACUGACCUUUACUUUUAAUACUAUAUGUUGUCUGUUGUAAAUAUAUAAUCCAUGACUUCAACUACCACCUGAAUAUUAAUUAAUUCAUCAAAUUAUAUCUCAAGCCUCUAGUGAAUCAUGCUUAAAACACAUUUUUAAAAUAAAACCAAUCUGUUCUGCAGAGUAUUAAUAAGGAAGGUGAUUAUUUCUUCGUUAAUUUUCUGCUUUCUCAUCGUGAGUGCAUUAUUUCCCUAGAAAUGCCAUCUUCAUUUCCAUGGUCACCCUGUAUUUUGGCAGAUAGCUAAAAAAACUAUGGGGUAUGUGAAGUAAUGGGAGUUUAUGCUGAUAUUUCCAGUAUGAACUAUAUAGGUCAAGGUAGAUACUGUUCAAAAAUAAAAAGGUAUGCAAUUAUAUAUAUAUAUAUAUAUAUAUAUAUAUGCAUUUAAAUUAGAAAGCUUGACUAAUGCCUAACUUAUUACAUUUAGCUAAUAAUAUCUAACAUUUAAUAUUAUAAAAAUACCCAUAUAAGAUUCUUGGUCUUUGUGUAUAUAUAUUAUUGAGACUAAGCCAUAAGUAUAAACAAGUGUGCAAUUCUGAUCAAAAUUCUUACAAAAAUUGGAUAAGAAAAUUCGUGAAAUUAUUUCAAUAGUUAACUUUUGUCAUUUUUUAUUAGUGACUUUUCACUUAAAAAUAAAUGAAAAAACAGAUUUGUGCACUAAAAAAAGCUAACUAUAUCUUCAUGUAACAAUCAGGAAGGAAGACUCUCAAAUCUCAGUGUUAAUGUUCCUCCAAAGUUUACAUUUUUCUCCUUGGAAAACACAUAUUUUUUAGUGGAUCUCUACUUCUCCCAUUGGUACUUUAAUGGUUAGAAAUUUGUCAGGGAAAUACUGGGAAAGUAGCAUGGAAGAAAAAGCUGAAGUUUAGAGGAGCAACCCUAAAACAAACAAUGGAUUUUUUGGUGCUAGAAACAGAUAGCAAGAGACAUUGUGUGGUGGGAGGCAGACAAUACGAAGGAAAGUCUGAAAGCACUUGCUCAGGGUUGGGCUGAGUCACAAAGGAUGCGUGGUAUUUUACACUAAAAACUUGAACCAGCAGAGUGAGAGUAAUUAGGAUGAAAAAGACUGAUUAAAAACAGUAGGUAAUAGCUUAGUAAAAGGAAUAAUAGAUGAAAACAAGAGGUCAAGUUCAGGUUAUAGCUGCAAAAAUGAUCAGGAGAGCAGCCACUGACAUAUAUCAAGAGAUAAGUGAGCCUGGAACUUGAAGCCCAGUGUAUUCAUUGGGAAAAUCUCUUUUCUAGCUGAAUCAGAAAACAGAUGAUAUAAUUUAUAGAACAAGAGAGGGUUAGAAUCAGUGCUAUCAUGGAUAUCACCACCAUAACAGAUACUUGGAGUGGGAGGCGGGUGGGUAAGGAGAGGACUAUUUCUGAGAUAUUCAAAUUAGAUCAGUCAUUUGAAAGCAUGAGAUUGUAUUUUCCAAGGAAAAAUGUGCUUUGCAUGGCUUGAAACUGACAUAAAUCCUGAUAAUAGUGGAAAAAACAUUUAGUGUUACCUGGAAAAGCCAAGGCUAAAUAUUUACUGCAAUUACAAUGGAUUGGACAUGAGAAUGCUGUAGAGAAUGAUUUUACGUAUCAUGAAUAAUUAUAAUAUCAACAGAGACCUCAGACUCUCUCAGAAGUGACUGAUAUGACCCACAGCUCCCGUAACAACAUAAGAUAUAUAUUAAUACAUAUUAUUAAUAUGACUGAAAUACCUACAAAUAUACCUUGUCAUUGCCAUAAAAAAACUAAAGUAGUACUUUAGUAGUCUAGCAAUGCUUUCUAUUUUGUUCUGUAGAAAAUAUCAGUUAUUGAAGCCUGAUGCAGUGGUAUGUGUUUGUAAUCUCAGCUCUAUGGUGGCUUAGACAAGAGGAUUGCAAGUUCAGAUAGCUGGGACAAUUUAGUGAGACCCUAUUUUCAAUUGUUUUUAAUUGUCAUUGGAACAUGGGGUGCUAAAAUCAAAGCUGUUAAGAUUCCACAGUUGAAAAGACAUAAGCACUAUAAAUACAAUCAUUUUCAUUCUAACAAAAACAAAAAUACAGCUUAACAGUCCUGCAAAGCAACUUGUAGAAUUUGCCUUUUGGAAAGGGAAAUUUUGAUCACAAACUCCACUGAAGUCAAUAAAGCCAGACUCUUGGGUGAGGUUAUACAACACUGAUCAGCAGUUGGUACUAUAAGGUGACUCACACAAACGAAACCACUUGUGAACAGCCUGUGGUGCCUCAGUGGGUUUUACUAGACAAGUCUGGGGCAUAAAGCAGUCAGACAAUGGAAAGAGACAAAUAUUAUCAUAAAACAAGUGAACUUUAGUCAUAGGUCUGGCAGAUUUCAUUUUUUGUAAUCUUAAAUACUUUCAUAAUCUUUUAAAGCCCUAGUUCUAAAACAUUUUCAUUUAAAUCAAGUCAGUGUAUGUGUUUAAGACCCCAUAUGAUAACUUGGACAAGGACAUGUAUUUCUUUACUAAAAGAAUGUACUUAACUAUGUCCUUUCAGAGGACUUUACCUUUGAUUUUCACCUAUUCAUUUGUUCCUCAUACUCAGCUAUGAUAUGCCAUUUUUGAUAAUCAGUUUUAUUAAUUUUUAACUACUCAAGUUUUUAACAAAAAGUAAGAAAUAUAAGCAUUAUAAUCUAUGACCAGAGCAUGCCAUGGUGGCAGGUACCUGUAAUCCCAGCACUCUGACAGACUGAAGUAGGAGGAUUGCAAAUUGAAGUAUAGUCUGGACAACUUAUCAAGACCCUGUCUCAAAUAAAACACUUAACAGAAGGUCAAAGCAGUAUGUGGCUCAGUGCAAAUGUCUUGGAUUCAAUGGCCAGACCCUCUACCCACCCCCAAAAAAAGAAGGAAGGGAAAAAGGAAAGGGAAAAAGAAAAGAUGAUCAUUUAAAUAACGGUUUUCAGAUAAUGGUUUGCAAAGCAUUUCUCUGAAACUAGUAAGAUAGUAUCCUGGUGAAUUUAGCAAAAUUUCUAUUAUGACAAGAAAAAGGUAUGCCAUACUUUAAAUUGUCUCAUUUACUCAAAUAUGUGAGCAGCUGGGUUUGUGCUCACUCCUUUUUUUGGAGGGAACAGACCAAAGAUACCUCCUGUUCACCAACACAAAUUCGGCAAGGCAGUAAAGGAGCCAAGAUUCCGGUAACUUCCAGUGCAGUAUUGUGUGAGGUGAAAUUUGGGAGCCACCAGUUCCACAAUCACACCAAUGCAGAUUUAAAAUGUGCCUUCUUGGGCUUCUUCUCAGAUGAUAAAGUGGCACCUUUGCUGAGGAGGAAUCCUGGAAAUCAGGUUCUCUAGCAAGCAUUGGGACAUUCUAAUGUACUCUGAGUUAGAAGCUGCAGCUUAGGGGCAGUUGUAGCUCACUCUUGGGAAAAACAAAAACUGUGACCUUGACCAUAAUGAUGUGGGGCACAGAAGCAAACUUCUGUGACUCCUGUUAGUACCCUGAGCUGGAAGGAGCGGGGCGAGCAGUGCAGCUUUCCUUUCAGUAUCGUCUGAGGUGCUCUCCGAGAUGCACUUUGGUAGUUCCAAAUUAAAGAUUAUUUUGCAAUUUCAUUGUUUUGAAAUGAUAUUUUUUCCUCUGGAGAGAGUUUACCAUUUGACCAUGAAGAAAAAAAUUAAUGAUGUUUUUAAAACAAAUUUUAUUUUCUUUUCCCUUUUAUCCAGGGUCUCCUUAUAAUUUCAUUACUCAUUAGUGCAGUCGAGGAAUAAAUACACUUAAUUUUUUUCCUAUUGUAUUUUUUUUGUGUUAGUACACUCUUUCUCUCUCCAUUUUGACUUCUUUGAUACCUUGAAGAAUUUUUACAUGUAAAAUAUAAAUGUAUUGAUCAGUAACCUUUUUAUCUCAUUGCAGUCUCAUUUAAAAAGAAUAUCCCUCGAGGUUGUGCUUCCCUUACAGGAUAUGUGUCUUUUCUC